AAGUCGAACGAUGAAACCGCUUCGGUGGUGGAUUAGUGGCGAACGGGUGAGUAACACGUGGGCAAUCUGCCCUUCACUCUGGGACAAGCCCUGGAAACGGGGUCUAAUACCGGAUAACACUCUGUCCCGCAUGGGACGGGGUUGAAAGCUCCGGCGGUGAAGGAUGAGCCCGCGGCCUAUCAGCUUGUUGGUGGGGUAAUGGCCUACCAAGGCGACGACGGGUAGCCGGCCUGAGAGGGCGACCGGCCACACUGGGACUGAGACACGGCCCAGACUCCUACGGGAGGCAGCAGUGGGGAAUAUUGCACAAUGGGCGAAAGCCUGAUGCAGCGACGCCGCGUGAGGGAUGACGGCCUUCGGGUUGUAAACCUCUUUCAGCAGGGAAGAAGCGAAAGUGACGGUACCUGCAGAAGAAGCGCCGGCUAACUACGUGCCAGCAGCCGCGGUAAUACGUAGGGCGCAAGCGUUGUCCGGAAUUAUUGGGCGUAAAGAGCUCGUAGGCGGCUUGUCACGUCGGAUGUGAAAGCCCGGGGCUUAACCCCGGGUCUGCAUUCGAUACGGGCUAGCUAGAGUGUGGUAGGGGAGAUCGGAAUUCCUGGUGUAGCGGUGAAAUGCGCAGAUAUCAGGAGGAACACCGGUGGCGAAGGCGGAUCUCUGGGCCAUUACUGACGCUGAGGAGCGAAAGCGUGGGGAGCGAACAGGAUUAGAUACCCUGGUAGUC
rnacentral:rRNA from 1 species